CCUCGGGAGUUAUGGAUUGUGAAAAAAAAGCUACAACUCCCUAAGGGAUUUGUUUUAUUUUGUUUUAUUAUGUAACUAAUUCAUACAAACCAAGUAGCGUAAAUGAGUUUUAGUUUUAAAAUACUGACGUUUAUAAUUUAAUAUAAUUUAAUAGCAGUUUAAAAUAAUUUUACAUAAUUUUUAAUUGUGGCUGAAUGUCGAAUAGGUCUGUGCCUUCGAUGCGUAAUCUGUCAAGAAAUGACAAUAUGGCGAACGAAUGUUUGAUAUGUCACCG